CGCCCGAGCGAGCCCGGCCGGAGCUGGGAGGAGCGCGGCGCGGGCUCGCCUGGACUGCGGGGCCCCGGCUUUGGGGUGGUGGUGGUGGGGGGGACGGUCCGUGCCGGCCGCGUAGGACCGAGGCGCGGGGACCGAGCGGCCAGCCGGCCUCCGGGAACCAUCGAGCUGGGGGUGGCGGAGCUGGGACACCGCCCUGGGGUUGCGCCCCUGGGGGCGGGGGGCGGCGAGACCCCUCCCCCCUUUGUCUUAGGUACUCGGAGGUGCGGGGCUGCGCCCGGGCCCGAGCCACGAGCACAGAGCCCUGCCCUGAGCGAGCCCUUAAAGUGCCCCGGCUUUGAUUGCAACCCCGGUGCGCGGGGGAGCGGGAAAGGGAGUGAUAAGCUGGCAGACAAAGCGUAACUGCCAUUAUUAAGCACCCAGGCUGGCCGGGCGCGGUCACCACCCUUUUUUCUCGAGGUGGCCGCCGAGGCACACGGAACACAAAGCAGGUGCCCUAGGACUGUGGAAGAGGCAGAGCCGGGAUGCGAACCUGGGACUUUUGGCUCUUGGCCCAGUGCGCCAGGCUGAGGAAAACGUGUACUUUGAAAACCGGGAAGGGUUUGGUCCACCUCCUAGCAAAUCGUUUGGGAUGAACAUGAGAAAUGUUUGCAUUUUCAUCUCUCCGUCCAGGCUGAAGAACUUCUUUUAACAUUUCUUGGAGGCCGCGUCCUGUCCUUGCGUGCCAUUUGGUCUGGCACAUGAUGUAGGUGCUCCAAGCGGAUCUGCUGGACACUGACCGGAGACUGGUAGGCACUUGACACGUUUUCUGGGAUGGUCUCUGAUUAAUGCUUAGUGUGCAAGUUCACCUCACGUUAAGAUACUGGUUAUUUUUGUUGAGACCAUGUAAAA